ensembl:sense_intronic Gm12122 predicted gene 12122
GCCUCUGCAUCAGCUCCUGCUUCCUGACCUGCUUGAGUUCCAGUCCUGACUUCCUUUAGUGAUGAACAGCAGUAUGGAAGUUUUCAACCUUCCUUCUCCUGGCAGUUGAAAAAAGCCUUGUGUGGCUUAGCCCACCUUUGCAAGCCUGGUGCUGCCUGAGGGGGUGUAAGGGGGUAACCACCUCUGUUCUUGAUCUGACCUGACUAAUUGGCCCCAGGGAAGUAAAUUAUAUAGAAAGAAGAGCUGUCUCUGACGCUGGCUGCUGCGUUCAUCCCUAAGUAUAGGAGACACGAAGAAGAACCACAUCACCUUGUAAAUCUGUUAUGGCCUCUUGGCCUCUGAGCCAUAAUAAAUAGAAUCCUCGCAGGCUGUCCUGAAGAUAUGAAGACGUUUUGUGAGAACAUCUGGCAUUCAUUGACUAAGG